AAGUCGUAACAAGGUUUCCGUAGGUGAACCUGCGGAAGGAUCAUUAACGAAAUAUAAUAGCCUGAAAUAUUGGCUAAAUAUAUUAAAACACAUGUGAACCGAUAGAAUUAUUUGUUUUGGCUGUUGGAAAAAGAUUUUCUUCAGCCAAAAGUUUUUUUUUAAACUCAUUUAAUUUUAAAACUUUUUAAUCUGAACUUGAAAAAUUGAAAAAUUAUUCAAAACUUUCAACAACGGAUCUCUUGGUUCUC
rnacentral:misc_RNA from 1 species